ACGGAAGGCAGCAGUGGGGAAUAUUGCACAAUGGGCGCAAGCCUGAUGCAGCCAUGCCGCGUGUAUGAAGAAGGCCUUCGGGUUGUAAAGUACUUUCAGCGAGGAGGAAGGCGUGAAACUUAAUACGUUUCACGAUUGACGUUACUCGCAGAAGAAGCACCGGCUAACUCCGUGCCAGCAGCCGCGGUGAUACGGAGGGUGCAAGCGUUAAUCGGAAUUACUGGGCGUAAAGCGCACGCAGGCGGUUUGUUAAGUCAGAUGUGAAAUCCCCGGGCUCAACCUGGGAACUGCAUUUGAAACUGGCAAGCUUGAGUCUUGUAGAGGGGGGUAGAAUUCCAGGUGUAGCGGUGAAAUGCGUAGAGAUCUGGAGGAAUACCGGUGGCGAAGGCGGCCCCCUGGACAAAGACUGACGCUCAGGUGCGAAAGCGUGGGGAGCAAACAGGAUUAGAUACCCUGGUA
rnacentral:rRNA from 1 species